UUUGAGCGUGCUUGACAUUCUUCUAAAUGUCUGUAUCAAAACUUGGGGCAAUUGGGGAACUUGGUCCUAUGAUUCUAGUGGUUUUUGAGAUUUGUGAUUAUUGUUGUAGUUGUUGUAAUUAUUAUUGGAAGUUGUGUCCUUGGGUGAGGGCCACUCUUUUGCCCUCUUGGGCCUUCCUCUAGUUAGUUUCUUGUAAGACUUUAUUUUUGUCGGCCUCUCUCCUUACAAAACUAUCCUCCUUCCAUAUGCAGUUUUCCAUGUACUUAUGGUCAUCUUGACAUCUAUUCCUUAUGUACUCGUCAUCAAGACAUCUCUUGCAAUGAUAAGCUUUUAGUCCUCUCAUAUGAACUCUCGUGACCUCCGUGGGAACUAUCUCAGGUGUAAAUUUUGCCAGCCAAAUUUCUGGGCAUCUAUAAAUGAAAGACUACCCUGUGUCAGCGUCAAAAAAUCAUCACCUCUCGAUGCUACUGGCGGCUAGCGCGGGAGGCUCGACGGAGACUGCGACGGGGCUCUACGCGAACCAGACCCCAAAACUUCAGGCGAGCCUUCUCCCCGACGUGAACCAAACCCCAAAAUCUUUAGGCCGCCCUUCUCCCUACACGAACAACGCCCCAAAAGCUUCACACCACCCUUCUCCCUACGCGACUUAUACUAGUUCAGGCCACCCUUUAAGAACAAAAAUGUGUGAGUGACAUGAACACAACUGCUGACGGCGAGCCUUGAGCGACCGAGAGAGAUUCUAGCUUUGUGGUAUCACUAAAACUUGCUACUUUUUUGGUGUUCUAUUAUUUGUUUGUUCCUUUUCGGCCACCAAUAGCAGUUGAUUUCUAUUACGCAAUUGAGUUUGUAUUGCUUGUCUUGCUAUGUCCAUUGUUUGUGUUUCAAGUUUCGGUUUUUGAAUUUAGGGGAAUUGAAAUGGGUAUCUUUUUCACUCAUUCUUGGAUUGGAUUGAUUUGAGUUAAAGUGAUUGAUUGAAAUGGGUUUAAUUGUGUUUUAUAAUUUUUGGAUUUAAUUUCCUUUUCAUUCGUAUUUGGUGUUUGAAUGAAUUAAUAAAUAGGACUGGGAAAGGAAUUCUGUGUAGUGGUUUCUCCAACUUCGGAUAAAUUUGGACAUUUGUUGGGCGAAUAGAUCAAAGAAAGAGAUAUUCACUGUUUUGAACCAUUGUGUUUGCUUGCAUAGUGUAUAUAACUUAUUGUGUUUGAAAAUCUUGAAAAACAAAUUGAUGUUGGUUUCAUCUUCAUUAUUUCUUCUAUUGGUAGUGUGUUCAAUAUGGUUUUGUUUAUCAGUUCUCUUAGGAUAAAGAUUUUCUAGGUUGUCCCAUUUUCAGUCAGGUAGUAUUUAUUUUUCUGUUAUCAAUUUGUAGAUAUGAAAAGCUGGUUUUCUGCUUUGUUAGCUAUUUAUUUGUGAUGAUUCUUUUGCUUUUGUUCAAGUGCUUUUGUAUUGAAGGUAUUCAUUUUGCUUUACAUUUGGCGUGUUUUAAGUUUUAACAACUGCUAUUAUCUUCUCUGUUAAUUUAUUUUGCCUUUGGACAAAGUAUCUACUGCUCUGUAGCCUCUCUCUUUUCGAUUUGGGAAUAAGAUAAUUGAAGUGCUUUUCUUUGUUAUUUGUUUAUUUGUUUCCCUUUUUGCUUUUAAUUUGCGAGAGCAUGAUUCCACUUAUCCCAAUUCAUUGCAGUUUUCUGAUAUCAUAUAGAUAGGAUAUAUGUAUAUGUGUUUUAAGUUAUUCUUUGGUAGUGUAAACACAGUUUUUUCUCUUAUUUUGCUAAUUUAUUUGAAUUGCACAGGCCAUAUGAGUUAUUGGGCUUAGUGUAUCAAUUAGCAUGAUGUUGAAUAUUGAGUUUAAUAAAUCUGUUUAUGGCAGGAGAACUAAAGAAGUUUCAAUAAUGGGGUUUGUUUUGUUUUUUAAAGGCUUGUAUAGAACCGCCGUACAAAACAACUUUAAAUUAGCUUUUCUAUUGAAGAAUUAUAUGUAUAUAUAUAUAUAUAUAUAUCAAUUUUAUGGAUAAGGUUUGCUUGUGUUAGCUCAGGCCUCAAUAUGUAAGAACAAUAGUAUGUUGUGGUUAAGUGAUGCUAAACAUUUAGGCUCUUGUCGGUUUAGAUAAUGAAAUUUGUUGGUAAAGUAUGUAUUAGUUUCCAAUCCGUGGAUUUUGUUGCUCAUGAGAGUAAUUUCAUUGUAGUUAUAAAGACACUAAUUCGAGAUUAAGAACAAAAGAGGUUAGUUUCAUUAACUCAACCAUGACAUCCAUACAACAGUUACAUUCUCUUAUUUUAUAGGAUUAGGAUGCUUUCUUUUUUUUUUGUCUAAUAUUAUACUUGAAGCAUAACAUAUAUAAUAGCAUGUCGGCAGGAACAGUGAUACUUGCCCAAGGACCCAAUUUUCAAGAUAUAAAAAAAGUAAUGCGACCCAAACAUGUAGCUGCAUUAUGCUCAAUAGUUGCGGCAAUUCAAAUGUGCACAGGCCUCUGCUGCACAUUUAUUAUUAAUAGUAACUCUCUGAUCUGCAUGGCAUGGAUUAAUUUUAUUGGUGGUUGUUAUCUAUAUCUAUGUUAUUGGUUGUUCUCCUUUUGGUAUUUGCGUUACAACUACUGAGAAGUGUGUAAAGUUCAGUGGUGGUAAGUUGCAUAAUCUGUUUUCUCUUAGAAACUUGGUUAAAAAAUGGAAGUACAUGCAAAACAAAAAUGGGCAUUAUUGAUUAUUACAUUGUUUUUAUGAUGAGAAAAUAAUGGAAGAUAAUUUGUAAAUGAAGUUUUAUGUUGAAUGCUAUAUGGAUAUUUGUUUUGUGUACAAAUAAACCAGAAGUCUUUAAUCAAACAUGCAGGUUCAUCAUGGUAGUGCAGGGACCACAGCUAUAGGACUAAAAGCAAGGGUAACAAUCUUUGCACUGGUUCUAAAGCAGGGGUAAUAAUCUUUGGAUGGGAAAUUGGAUUAGCUAAUAAAAUGAUUAUCCAUUUUCAUUUUUGUUGUCAGUUUAAUUCUGUUGCAUCAUUUAACAUCUAUAUAAUGAAAUAUAGUGUCCAACCAUUAUAGUCCUAUUUUUUGGAGAUCAAUUCUUUUGGGAUGAUAGAAUAUCAAAAACUAUUGGGACUCGCACUUGUACAUUAAUUAUAUAUUUCUAAAUGCAUAUGAGAGUGGAGUGUA